ensembl:lncRNA
GUGGGGCUGGAUUAUAGGGUUGGAGGGGGCGUUUGGGACUGAGUUAUGGGGCUGGGGGGUUUUGGGGCUGAGUUGUGGGGCUGGGGGGAAACUUGGGGAGCUGGGGGACUGACUGAUGGGGUCUCUGUGGGUCGCUAUGGGGUCUCUAUGGCCUCUCUGUGCCUCUCUAUGGUCUCCACGUAUCCCUAAGGCCCCUCUAUCGUCUCUCUAUGUCCUCUCUAUGGUCCCCACGUAUCCCUGUGGCCGCUCUAUGUCCGCUCUCUGGCCCUCCUACGCUCUCUAUGGUCCCCACGUGACCCUGCGUGCUGUGCGCCGUGCCGCCCUUCAGGUUCAGCUCCCGCACGAACAGCACGGAUCUGUACCACGUGACCCGGCGCCAUUGGAGCUCCCUGCGCUUCCGGGACGGCGCUUCCGGAGCGGCGCCCCCUACCGGCUUCCACAGCGCCGAACGCAUCGGCCGCUACAUGGUGCUGUUCGGGGGCAGCGUCCACCAGCACUACCAGCAGGAGCGGUGCUACGGGGACGGGAUUUUCUUCUACCACCUGGGCUGCCACCAGUGGGUGCCCGGCCCCACGCUGACACCCGGAGCUGGUGAGCCCCACAAGUGGGGGGGGGAUCUGUGGGGGGGGGGGUGACCCAUAGAUCGGGGUCUUGGGGGGGGGGGUGUGACCCAUAGAUUGGGUGGGGGGUGACCCAUAGAUGUGGGGUGACCCAUAGAUUGGGGUCUGGGGGGUGAGGGUGACCCAUAGAUGUGGGGUGACCCAUAGAUUGGGUGGGGGGUGACCCAUAGAUUGGAGUCUGGGGGGGGUGACCGAUAGAUGUGGGGUGACCCAUAGAUUGGGUUGAGGGGGGACCCAUAGAUGUGUGGGGUGACCCAUAGGUGUGGGGUGACCCAUAGAUUGGGAUCUGGGGGGUGAGGGUGACCCAUAGAUGUGGGGGGACCCAUAGAUUGGGGUCUGGGGUGACCCAUAGAUCUGGGGUGUGACCCAUAGAUGUGUGGGGUGCCCCAUAGAUUUGGGCCAACUGGGGGCCAUUUUUGCCCCAUUUCCCCCAAAUUUGGGGCUGAUUUCCCCCAUUUUUGCCCCAUUUCCCCCCAUUUCUUCGCAAUUUCCCCCAAUUUGGGGCUGAAUUCUUCCCAUUUUUGCCCCAUUUCCCCCAUUUUUGCCCCAUUUCCCCCAUUUUUGCCCCAUUUCCCCCCAUUUGUUCCCAAUUUCCCCCUUUUUGGGUCCAUUUGGGGCUGAUUUCCCCCAUUUUUGCCCCAUUUCCCCCAAUUUGGGUCCAUUUGGGGCUGAAUUCUCCCCAUUUUUUCCCCACUUCCCCCAUUUUUGCCCCACUUCCCCCAUUUCCCCCAUUUUUGCCCCAUUUCCCCCAUUUUUGCCCCAUUUCCCCCACCUUGGGGCCGAUUUCCCCCAUUUUGGGCUCAUUUCCUUCAAUUUGGGGCGGAUUUUCCCCGUUUGUGCCCCAUUUCCCCCAAUUUCUUCCUAAUUUCUUCUCAUUUGGGUCAAUUUGGGGUUGAAUUUCCCACUUUUGAGGCCCAUUUCCCCCAUUUUUUGCCCCAUUUCCCCCAAUUUGGGGCUGAUUUCCCCCCAUUUCCC